UUUAAAUAUAUAUAAAAACCAGCGUUUCUCACGCCUCAUUAAAAGAGAAAGCAAAUCAACCUUUUCCUACAAGAUGCAGUGAUGGGUUCUAAAGCAGUCACCUGUAAUGAAUCUAAGAGCUGAAUGAUAUACCGAAUCCAAAGGAUUUAGGGUAGAAGCAGACACAAGCUUAUAAACUACAUCCCCUUAGUCCAGCACUGAUAAAAACACUGCUUCAAUAAUCGUUUUUCUACAUACCAUAGGGAAGAUGGUUCUAUUCCUUUAUAAAAUCACAUUUUCUGACGUAAUUUGCUAACAAGUUUAUCAAUAUGAGAUUUAAAAGUGAGUUUUUCAUCAAGCUAGAUGCCUAGAUAUUUGUAUUCAGAGACUUUUUCAAUAAUAGUCUCACUGAUAGUGGAAAUGCAGACUAUUGUGACCCAUAUCUCUUGCCCUUGAGAACAACAUUAAUUUUGUUUUGGUCUGAUUAAGAACCAGCUUUGUUUAUGGGAAAGAAACCAGAUUGGACAUUACCUAGUUUCACACAUUUAAAUCGGUCAGAUAGGUAAUAACGGAACCAGUUACGCAUUUUCAGUAAGACCAAUGCUACUCAAUUUAUCGAACGAUAAAGAAUGGUCGACCGUAUCAAAAGCUUUACCAAUAUCAUAAACGGGGCAGCACAGUGUUUUUCUAUUAUCUAAGGCAGAGACAAUAAUGUUAGUGACCAGAGUGAUGGCAGAGAUAGUACUAUGGUUUGCUCUAAAACCAGAUUGGUGUACAGACAAAAUAGAGUGAUUUGAAAGGAAACAUUUGAGUUUGCGGUUAACAUGAAUUAAUAGAAAAAUCUCACCUUCUCAAUUUGUUAAGGAUGCUGCCUUCAUUCUUAUUGAUGUCCUGGACGAUUUUCUGGAGUUGCCUAAAGAAAACCAACAUAUAAUUGAUCUUCAUUGUUAUCCACUCCUCGCUAUAAACCGGACAAUCACAUAGCCGCACCGGCGCUCGCACUAAAAGUUAGCUGGGCAUGGGAAGAAGUAGUCUACGAUGAGAUCAUUUCCCACUCCACGUUGGCACAGCAGCUAUUCCUCGAUCAUGAUCAGUUUGUCUUUAUGCUACACUUUAAUUCCAAGCUUGUUAGAAACUUCUUCUAACCAUGGUAAACUGUGUUCUUUUUGUUGAAUCAAUAGGUGGUUUAACAUGAGGACAAAGCAACAGAUAUCAAACCUUACUUUUGUAUUGUAUUUUGAAUAUUAAAAAUUUCACUGAAUUUCAAACGAUCUAUGGUGUUAUUGUUGUCGUCAAACGUUUUCUAUAAACAAACCAAAAUAAGGUUCAAAUUCUUACCGAAGUUUUGCAGUAGCAGGAGCAGCGAAUCUACUGAAUUGUUCCAUACUAAGUAAUUACUUAAGCCGUUACGUACUGAUAUGAAACAUGCCUCCAAGCGUACGAGUAAGCUGCAUGAAGACAGUCAUUACGUUGGCAUAGGGAGGGAUUCAUUCAAACCAUUGCUGUAAGAAUCAUCACUUCUGCUUUCCACCCCUGCAAUUCACACACACACACACACACACACACACACACACACACACACACACACACACACACACACACACACACACACACACACACACACACACACACACACACACACACACACACACACACACACACACACACACACACACACACACACACACACACACACGACGCA